UUAAAGUUGUUGCAGUUAAAAAGCUCGUAGUUGAACCUUGGGCCUGGCUGGCCGGUCCGCCUCACCGCGUGCACUGGUCCGGCCGGGCCUUUCCUUCUGGGGAGCCGCAUGCCCUUCACUGGGUGUGUCGGGGAACCAGGACUUUUACUUUGAAAAAAUUAGAGUGUUCAAAGCAGGCCUAUGCUCGAAUACAUUAGCAUGGAAUAAUA
rnacentral:rRNA from 1 species